rnacentral:rRNA from 1 species
AUGAACGCUGGCGGCGUGCCUAAUACCUGCAAGUCGAGCGAACGGACGAGAAGCUUGCUUUUCUGAUGUUAGCGGCGGACGGGUGAGUAACACGUGGAUAACCUACCUAUAAGACUGGGAUAACUUCGGGAAACCGGAGCUAAUACCGGAUAAUAUUUUGAACCUCAUGUUUCAAAAGUGAAAGACGGUCUUGCUGUCACUUAUAGAUGGAUCCGCGCUGCAUUAGCUAGCUGGUAAGGUAACGGCUUACCAAGGCAACGAUGCAUAGCCGACCUGAGAGGGAGGUCGGCCACACUGGAACUGAGACACGGUCCAGACUCCGACGGGAGGAAGCAGUAGGGAAUCUUCCGCAAUGGGCGAAAGCCUGACGGAGCAACGCCGCGUGAGUGAUGAAGGUCUUCGGAUCGUAAAACUCUGUUAUUAGGGAAGAACAUAUGUGUAAGUAACUGUGCACAUAUUGACGGUACCUAAUCAGAAAGCCACGGCUAACUACGUG